UGAUUCCUGGGCUUCAAGGAACGAAACCGCUGGGUGGCGUUGCUUAACCCUGCAAAGUCGGAACCGGGUUAAGGCCCCUUUUGGGGGGGUUACCACGAAGUGGCGAACCGGGUUGAGUAAACACCGUGGAGUUAACCCUUCCCCAUUCCACUUNCGGGAUUAACGCUAGGGAAACCUGGUGGCUAAAUUCCCGGAUAUGAGCUCUCAUCGCCAUGGUGGGGGUUGGAAAGUUCUGGCGGUGGUGGAUGGACUCGCGUCCUAUCAGCUUGUUGGUGAGGUUGUGGCUCACCAAGGCGUCGACGGGUAGCCGGCCUGAGAGGGUGACCGGCCACAUUGGGACUGAGAUACGGCCCAGACUCCUACGGGAGGCAGCAGUGGGGAAUAUUGCACAAUGGGCGCAAGCCUGAUGCAGCAACGCCGCGUGCGGGAUGACGGCCUUCGGGUUGUAAACCGCUUUCACCAGGGACGAAGUGCCUUUCGGGGUGUGACGGUACCUGGAGAAGAAGCACCGGCUAACUACGUGCCAGCAGCCGCGGUGAUACGUAGGGUGCGAGCGUUGUCCGGAUUUAUUGGGCGUAAAGAGCUCGUAGGUGGUUGAUCACGUCGGAAGUGAAAACUUGGGGCUUAACCCUGGGCGUGCUUUCGAUACGGGUUGACUUGAGGAAGGUAGGGGAGAAUGGAAAUCCUGGUGGAGCGGUGGAAUGCGCAGAUAUCAGGAGGAACACCAGUGGCGAAGGCGGUUCUCUGGACCUUNCCUGACGCUGAGGAGCGAAAGCGUGGGGAGCAAACAGGCUUAGAUACCCUGGUAGUCCACGCUGUAA
rnacentral:rRNA from 1 species